UCCAACAAGACAGAUUAUUUUUCCUCUUACAACCAGGGAAGAGAGAUAGCUUUGCUCUACGAACACAUCUCAAACCCAUGCUGAUGAGGAAGCUCUGCUAUUUUCAGUAGAUGUCUUCCAAAGUUGUUGUUCCUGGCCAGCAGGAAGGAAAGGGUGCAGCAGCUCCAAGGCAGGCUCUAUAAGAUGACUUGAAAGCUCUACCUAUCAGUUCCACUUACAUUCCUUUGAGGAGAACUAGCUGCAAGGGAGGCUGGGAAAUGUAGUCCCUGUGUGGACAACCAUAUGCUCCAGAGAAAGGGAGGAUGAGUUUGGGUGGGACAAGCCACAGUCUCCACCAUUGCAUUGAUCUGUACAGUCAGCUGCUGCUGGAUGAUGGCAUACAUAAGUGAGAUUGCUGAAUCUCAUGAACAUUAGCCUGGUUUGUUUUGUUUUGUUUUGUUUUUUCUUUUUAGAGCCACAACCAUGGCAUUUGGAAGUUCCUAAGCUAGGGGUCAAAUCCGAGCUGCAGCUGCCAACCUAUGCCACAGCCUACACUGUGGAAUCCAAGCCAUAUCUGAGACAUAUACCACAGCUCACGGCACCACCAGAUCCUUAACCCACAAAGUGAGACCAGGGAGCAAACCCGCGUCCUCAUGGACACUAGUCAGAUUCCUUUUCGCGGAGCCAUAACGGGAACUCCUCCAGGCUGGUUUUUAAACUGCAAAACGAAAUCUUGAUGAGAAGUAAUAUUGGGGAGUUCCCGCAGUGGUGCAGUGUGUUAAUGAUCCAGAUUGUCUCUGUGGAGUCCCUGCUUUGAUCCCCGGCCCAGCACAGUGGGUUAAGGAUCCAGUGUUGCUGCAGCUGUGGCGUAGGUCGCACCUCCAGCUUAGUUUCUACCCCUGGCCCGGGAGCUUCCAUGUGCUGCAGGUGUGGCCAUAAAAGAAAUAAAGAAAAAGAAAAAGAAGCAAUAUUGUAUGGGAAACCAGAAAAUUUUAAGGCAUAGACUAAAUUCACGGGUGAUAAUAUUGGCAGACACUUGAAGCUCAGUGAAGGCCUAUCUGAACCUUCUACUAGAUCCCUCCCUGGUCCCCUGCGGUUAUAGAAUAGUAGAGGGGACUUGGGGUUGAUCGCAGCUUCUGAUAAAUUGGGCACUUUGCUGUGGUGGUAACCAGGUUAUCUUUGGUGAGAUGUCGAGUUCAUGUAUAGGUUUUGUUUCAGUCUUGGGUCCAUUUGUUUGGGAGAAGAUUGAGCAGGCCCUGGAGUUCCCUGGGGAAGGAGACUCAGAUCCAGGGUGCAUUAUUGUGUCCAUGUGAUUAUCAAGAACAUGUUUUAUAGUAGGCGGAUUUUGUUACACAAUUUCAUAAAAUAUGAAUAUUUUCACACUCUAUAUCCAUCCCCAAAGAUUCUUCCUUUUGUUUUUUCUUUUCAUUUCCUUAACCCAGGUCUUUAAUCUCAUUCCUUUCAAGUCCUUGAGCAUCUGUCUAAAGCACCAGCCACUGCCUGUACAUUCACUGCAGAUCCUUGCCUCGGGCCAUCUCCUGUCUGCAGACAGCGAGCCACAAAAUAUACUGUUUAACAUUCUGCCCCACUGGGAGGAUUUCUUUUCUCUGUUGUUUUGCAGAGCCACCCCCGAGUGGGACUGUACAGAAAUGGUCUGUUGCUGGCCAGGGUUGGUGUGUUGCACUAUAAUCUGGACGUGAAAUGUUUCUUUCUCCAUCCUCUGAUGUUAGGGCGUCCCCCCUGAGAGCCCAGAUGUGGAAUGAGGGUGGAAUAUCGUGGUAGAUGUGAGGGCGAAGCAAGUUGGCUUCCUGUGGUGAAAGGUUCAAGGAGGUAUUCACUCUCAGGGUCAUACAAGCACCAGGUCAGCAUCUGAGUGAACGUUUCCGUAAACUUUACAUCGUCGACAUCUUGCCUACCUCCCCAUGGCCCAGGCCCUGGUGAGCGGCCCGCACAGGACACCGUUGCCGUGAGCUGUGGUGUAGGUUGCAGACGCGGCUCGGAUCCCUGUUGCUGUGGCUCUGGCAUAGGCUGGCAGCUACAGCUCCGAUUAGACCCCCAGCCUGGGAAACUCCAUACGCCGCGGGAGGGGCCCAAGAAAAGGCAAAAAGAAAAAAAAAAAAAAAAAAAGAAUGGAAAAGGGGAGAAGCCUCCCCUUUAUCACUUUCCCCAUUUAAGGCUUGGGUUUGAGGAGUCUCAUUUUCCUGGGCUAGAGUAACUGGAAAUUCCAAGUACUUGUGGCUUGCUCUGAUCUGUGUCCAGGUGGGAUGGCUGCUCUUUGGAAAUGGCUGAUGGGCAGGAGGGGCCUGGGUCAAAGUUCUGGGAGACUAUCCACAAUCACAGAGUAUCACCUCAAAUGAAAGGUUGUCACCAGAUCUCAUGUUACAGGGGGACCUUCAAAGCCCUGGACCCCUCCUUCUGUCACAUACACAUACACUGCCCCUCUUCUCUAAGGACAGUGCCAAAAUCAAGGGCAAAGACCCAGAAUGACCUUUACGGACUGCCUCAUCCCACAGUGCAGCAGUGUUCCUGCUCACUCUGACCCUUGCUUCUCCUACUUGUCCAUGGCGGGAGGAUGUCCUGCAGGGGGAUGGGAGCAGAUCUCAGGAGUGGGGCUGGUGAGUAUGGCUGUGCCAGGGUCAGGGGUUUAGUGUCAGUACGAGAUGGUGGCAGCCUGGGUCAGCAGAAGGAAGCAGCUGGUACAUCAGGAAGUCAGUGUAUUUCAAGCAUGGGAGGGAUGUCAAUGGGACUUCGCUGCCAGGGAGUGGCUAGCUGUCACAGUGGCUGGAAAUUCAUGGGCCUUGGCUCUUCUGAAAGUGCCAGGCAGCACAGUCACCAUUUCUCACCAUUUUUAAAGAAACGACUGCACCCAUGGCAUAUGGAAGUUACCUGGCUAGGAAUCAAAUUUGAGCUGCAGCUGUGACCUAUGCCACAGCUAUGGCAAUGCUGGAUCCUUAACCCAUCUUGCCACAACAGAAACUCCUCACCAUUUUUUAAAUAGUCUAUGAAUGGACUGACCUGUUGGCAGGCACCCUUUCCCUGACAUUUCUGUCUGUAGAGUGCUACCUAGGAAACGCAGCCUGUCCUGUCAGCCUUGACAGUCAUACUGUAGAGGAAGAAAUUUAUAACUUGCCAGACUCCAUAUCAGUUGGGGGCAACUGGCCCAGCAGCAGAAGGGGAAAGAUCACAGAACUAACAGGGGAGGAACACAGAACUAGCAGCAGCAGCGCUGAGUCAUUUCUUCCCUGUGCAAAUACGUGAAAACCAGAGAAUCCUCUUCUGCCCGUUUGGCAAAGGGAACUCCUUCUUGAAGGCAGUGGCAUGGCUAAGAUGACCACCAGCAGAUCAGAUCGGGAUCAGAGAAACAGAUCCUACUUCUUGCCUGACUUUGCAGUCCUCGAGCACAGCAGCCUGCAGCAGUACAGAACUAUGGACAGCAGAGGGAGCUCUUGCCUAACCUUUUCGCCACGUCGAGCCGCUUCCGAGAACCUGAACUUCUGGUAAUUUGCCUCUGAAGUCUGGGUGACUGCAGGGGAGUGCAUGGCUGGAGUAACAAUAGGGAUGACUACGGGCUCGUAACUUCACCGUUAGGUACUCACCCAGAAGAGGAAGUGCCCUCUUGCGAUCUCCCCCACCAACAGUCUACUACCCCUUUCUCAACUGCACUUCAUACUCGGCCACCUGUGGCUUCCAAGGGGGGGUUCUCCUCAGCAGCACCCCUGCUCUUCCUUGCCGUGAUCCUCUCCCAACUGCCAAGAAAUAGAGGUGAAGCUUGCUCACGUAAGGGUUUAUGGUGUGCGAGCGGAACCGCGUCCGGGUGGGCUUUGGGGUUCUCGGUCGGGGGUGCGGGGGUGGGGAGGAGGAGAAGGGGUAGCUGAAGGGUGUGUUCUGCAGUUGCGCGUCUCCACAAAUACCGCUAGGUGGCGCUCGAAGCCCGCAUCUCUGAGAAGCGCAGGCUUUUUGAAGACCUCGGCUCAAAUGGAGGGUAGGUUGGCUUGAGGACCCAGAAAGGGCUGCAGGAAGAAGGAGCCAGCUGCGUUCAAGGAUCAUCCUCUCUGAAUCAGAGGGACAGCACUGGCAUUUGGAGGCUAUGAAGCAGCCAUGGUUCCUGGGAGCUUGGAAGCGGAAGGAGAAGAGCGGGGCCCGAAGGCUUGGCACAUAUUGGGAGGGAAGGAGAAUGGAUUCCUAGACCUUCCCUGGGAGCUAGAGAGGGGUUGGAGGAUCCUCGAUCUUUUAAUCUGUCGCCGAAUUAAAAUUUAUAAAAUCUCCAGACUUACAGGUUCUGUUCUGAUGCCACUGGGAGAAUAAGGAGUCUUAGAAUCCGAAUUUGACCUGGGAAUAAAAAAUCCGAGAGCAU
rnacentral:lncRNA from 1 species